rnacentral:rRNA from 1 species
AGUGAACGCUGGCGGUAGGCCUAAUACAUGCAAGUCGAACGGCAGCACAGUAAGAGCUUGCUCUUACGGGUGGCGAGUGGCGGACGGGUGAGGAAUACAUCGGAAUCUACUUUUUCGUGGGGGAUAACGUAGGGAAACUUACGCUAAUACCGCAUACGACCUACGGGUGAAAGCAGGGGAUCUUCGGACCUUUCGCGAUUGAAUGAGCCGAUGUCGGAUUAGCUAGUUGGCGGGGUAAAGGCCCACCAAGGCGACGAUCCGUAGCUGGUCUGAGAGGAUGAUCAGCCACACUGGAACUGAGACACGGUCCAGACUCCUACGGGAGGCAGCAGUGGGGAAUAUUGGACAAUGGGCGCAAGCCUGAUCCAGCCAUACCGCGUGGGUGAAGAAGGCCUUCGGGUUGUAAAGCCCUUUUGUUGGGAAAGAAAAGCAGCAGGUUAAUACCCCGCUGUUCUGACGGUACCCAAAGAAUAAGCACCGGCUAACUUCGUG